GUUGUAUGUACUCAUAGUGCAUGAAACGUUACAUAUGCAGAGAAAUCGCGCUCGCGUGUAUUCGUAAUAUUUUGCACUAGCUUUUAUAAUUCAUAAAAGCCUUUUACGUCACUCAAUUAAUGCUACACGGUAUUUAUAAUUAGAGAAGAGUCCACUGAAUUUGCCAAAAUUACAUACAGAAAUGCUUUAUACAAGAAAUUCGUUCUAUUAAAUGCGUAUCAUCCCUUGAAAAUAUUGAGCUUGCUCCCCUACAUCAUUACUGACAAAGUAGGCCAAGAACAAGGUUAACUCUAACAUUGACUCGAAGAUAUCAGCAGUAGUAUCAACUGCAAUGUUCAAAUCGUAAAUUUGAAAGUUCAAAUUUUCGAUUUAAAUUGAUUGUAAUAAAGUAUCAAGCACA